GCGCUUCUCUCCUCAGAAAUUCAGGCAGAGCCGCGGCGGAGAGCGGGAAAGGUCCCCCUUCUGCUCUGCUGACAGAGGCUCCCACCGCCCCGGCAGAAGGAGCCCCGCUCUGCGGAGCAGAGCUAUUUAUUGACGGACUCAUUGAAAGGAGGGAAUAACCCCGACAUCCAGCGCAGCACAAGUUGUGAACAGAGGACAUUAAAAACUGCUGGGACCUCCGUUUUGCUGGAGAAAGGUUUAAUAUAAAUUAAGCGGGGUGAUGAUUAACUAUGGCAGCAUCUGAAGCGCGGUGAGGAGCGAGCAUUGCUCUCUGCCUUUGGAAACCAAAGCAAUCCCUUCCCGAAUGGAGAGGGAGCACUCAGCAUCCUUCCCUCGGCUGCGUCCUUCCCAGAGCUAACCCUCCGUGCUGAAAGCCGAUGGUUAGAAGUAGCAACGCAACACAAAAACCCUAUGAUUUGUUCCUGAAGUUCGUGUUUUUGCUAACAGAGCUUUGCCGGCUUCAAAGUUACAGGUGGUGUUUGCUAAGGCUUGCGUUCCUGCUGUCACUCACACAAGUGUCGCUAUAUAUCACUCCAUGCUAAGAAAACACACUUUGUGAUUGAAGUAUGGCAUUGUGUUUGCGCACGCAUUUUACAAGUAACAGAAUCCAUUUAAUUGACAUGAAAAACACGGCUGCUGCUAGUAACUUUGGGGCAGCGUCCUGCUUGCAGCCGUAAAAAUAACUCCGGGGAGAACAAAGCGCUUCAGUGCAGAGGGCUGGCUGUGGAGGGAGCGGGGUGGGUGCCAUGCCUUCACAUAAUGAUUGUGUUUAUACACGGCAGGAAGCAUCUGUAAUCCACAGCUGCGGGUGCUCCAGCCCCGAGUCCUGAUAAAAUCUACACCUAUGCUUCUGCAUGAAUGAAAACAGACUGCUGGACUUGACCGAAAUGCAGCCCACAUUGGAAUUUUCUGUUGCAUUCCUGAGCCUGGAUCUGGAAUACUUUCAUCUCAGAUUGAGUGGAAUCUUGUUUCUGUACCUCAGUAGAUGACUGAAGUGUAAAAUCUACUUGAUCAUAACUUUCUGCGGGGUUUACUGCAGGGUAGUCUGCACAUAAAGACCCUGAAGUCAUGUGAAAUAGGAGCCUUGACCUCAAGACACAAUAAAGUUGGCUGGUUUGGUUGUGGCUCAAAAGGUCACUUUUUCGAGGGCUGCCUCUGAGUGCUGUUUUAAACUAAUUAUUACCUUUGAUUUUAACUUAAUAUUUGUUUGUUUAAAAAAAAAAAGAAGAGAGAGAGAAAAGAAGAAAAAAGAAAAAAAGAAAGAAUGAAAAGGAAAUGAAAGGAAAACGAAAAAACCCUCAGUUACUACUAUUUAAACAGUCUGAUUGGCAUGUAUAUCACAUUAUGGACUUAUGAAAAGACAAGAUUUCUGCCUGAGGAGCUUAUAGUGUAAAAUAGACAGAAAGCACCGUGAAUAAUAAAAGCAGACAGAGCAGAGAUUUGUAUGUGUAUGUGGGAAGAGUGGGAAGGUGCAUAGAGACAUAUGCAGAGCUGAGAAAUAUUCUACCAGUUGACAUUGAUUAUGAUACUUUUCUUUCUUGCUCUAUUUCCAUGUAUGGUAAUUGCUUUGUUUUUCUCUAUUUGCUUGUUUUUCAAUGAGAUAUUCCAUCACAGAAGUUCAUCUUCUGCUUUCUUUUUCUGUUCUAGGAUCUAGGAGAAUGGGUAACACACAUACAUCUUUAUUUUUUCACUAAGCCAUAACAUAUAACACAGAAAUCCCUCCCCAAAAUGUUAUAUAUGCUUCCCUUGGCAGGUUUUCCCAAGUAAUCCACAGUGACUCACUACUGCAAAGUACAAUUCACAGUUAACAGAAAAUAAAAAUGAGCUUGAAAUUUUGGACUUCUGACACUACCAUCCCCUAACAAAUGCCAUCUUUAUGUUUGUUGUUGUUUUUCACUUUGUUGUUUUUUUAUAUAAAUAUAUAUAUAAAAUGUUCAUAAAC